GCCGGGCGCAGUGGCGCAUGCCCGUCGUCCCAGCUACUCGGGAGGCUGAGGUGGGAGGAUCGCUUGAGCCCAGGAGUUCUGGGCUGUAGUGCGAUAUGCCGAUCGGGUGUCCGUACUAAGUUCAGCAUCAGUAUGGUGACCUCCUGGGUGUGGGGGACCACCAGGUUGCCUAAGGAGGGGUGAACCGGCCCAGGUCGGAAACGGAGCAGGUCAAAACUCCUGUGCUGAUCAGUAGUGGGAUCACGCCUGUGAAUAGCCACUGCACUCCAGCCUGGGCAACAUUAGCGAGACCCUGUCUCU
rnacentral:SRP_RNA from 1 species